GGUUUCUUGGUGUAUGGUGUAGUUGGUUAUCACGACAGUCUAACACACUGAAGGCCCCCAGUUCAAAUCUGGGAGAAAUUA